rnacentral:rRNA from 1 species
CAGUAACGGCGAGUGAAGCGGUAACAGCUCAAAUUUGAAAUCUGGCCUCACGGUCCGAGUUGUAAUUUGUAGAGGAUGCUUCGAGCAUGGUCUGGCCUAAGUUCCUUGGAACAGGACGUCAUAGAGGGUGAGAAUCCCGUAUGCGGUCAGGUGCCUACGCUCAUGUGAAGCUCCUUCGACGAGUCGAGUUGUUUGGGAAUGCAGCUCAAAAUGGGUGGUAAAUUUCAUCUAAAGCUAAAUAUUGGCCAGAGACCGAUAGCGCACAAGUAGAGUGAUCGAAAGAUGAAAAGCACUUUGGAAAGAGAGUUAAACAGUACGUGAAAUUGUUGAAAGGGAAGCGCUUGCAACCAGACUUGCGCGCGGCCGAUCAUCCGGUGUUCUCACCGGUGCACUCGGCCGUGCUCAGGCCAGCAUCGGUUUCGGCGGUUGGAUAAAGGCCUCAGGAAUGUGGCUCCUCUCGGGGAGUGUUAUAGCCUGGGGUGCAAUGCAGCCUGCUGGGACCGAGGACCGCGCUUCGGCUAGGAUGCUGGCGUAAUGGUUGUAAGCGGCCCGUCUUGAAACACGGACCAAGGAGUCUAACAUCUAUGCGAGUGUUUGGGUGUCAAACCCAUACGCGUAAUGAAAGUGAACGGAGGUGAGAACCCUUAAGGGUGCAUCAUCGACCGAUCCUGAUGUCUUCGGAAGGAUUUGAGUAAGAGCAUAGCUGUUGGGACCCGAAAGAUGGUGAACUAUGCCUGAAU